rnacentral:rRNA from 1 species
AUUGAACGCUGGCGGCAUGCCUUACACAUGCAAGUCGAACGGUAACAGGUUAAGCUGACGAGUGGCGAACGGGUGAGUAAUGUAUCGGAACGUGCCCAGUCGUUGGGGAUAACUACUCGAAAGAGUAGCUAAUACCGCAUACGAUCUACGGAUGAAAGCGGGGGAUCUUCGGACCUCGUGCGGACGGAGCGGCCGAUGGCAGAUUAGGUAGUUGGUGGGAUAAAAGCUUACCAAGCCGACGAUCUGUAGCUGGUCUGAGAGGACGACCAGCCACACUGGGACUGAGACACGGCCCAGACUCCUACGGGAGGCAGCAGUGGGGAAUUUUGGACAAUGGGCGAAAGCCUGAUCCAGCAAUGCCGCGUGCAGGAUGAAGGCCUCCGGGUUGUAAACUGCUUUUGUACGGAACGAAAAGACUCCUUCUAAUACAGGGGAUCCAUGACGGUACCGUAAGAAUAAGCACCGGCUAACUACGUGCCAGCCGCCGCCGUAACAC